UGGCAUAAGCCAGCUUGACUGCGAGCGUGACGGCGCGAGCAGGUGCGAAAGCAGGUCAUAGUGAUCCGGUGGUUCUGAAUGGAAGGGCCAUCGCUCAACGGAUAAAAGGUACUCCGGGGAUAACAGGCUGAUACCGCCCAAGAGUUCAUAUCGACGGCGGUGUUUGGCACCUCGAUGUCGGCUCAUCACAUCCUGGGGCUGAAGUAGGUCCCAAGGGUAUGGCUGUUCGCCAUUUAAAGUGGUACGCGAGCUGGGUUUAGAACGUCGUGAGACAGUUCGGUCCCUAUCUGCCGUGGGCGCUGGAGAACUGAGGGGGGCUGCUCCUAGUACGAGAGGACCGGAGUGGACGCAUCACUGGUGUUCGGGUUGUCAUGCCAAUGGCACUGCCCGGUAGCUAAAUGCGGAAGAGAUAAGUGCUGAAAGCAUCUAAGCACGAAACUUGCCCCGAGAUGAGUUCUCCCUGACUCCUUGAGAGUCCUGAAGGAACGUUGAAGACGACGACGUUGAUAGGCCGGGUGUGUAAGCGCAGCGAUGCGUUGAGCUAACCGGUACUAAUGAACCGUGAGGCUUAACCUU
rnacentral:rRNA from 1 species